rnacentral:rRNA from 1 species
UACCCGCUUGAAAAUUAAGCAUAUAAGUAGGCGGUGGAAAAUGAACCCAAAUGGGAUUCCUUAAGUAAUUGCGAAUGAACAAGGAAAUGCUCAGCUUGAAAAAUGGGGCCUUUGGCUUUGAAUUGUAAUUUUGAAAUGUAUUGCCAAUGGAGGCGCAGGUGCAAGCCUAUUGAAAGAAAGCGUCAACGAGGGUGAAAUUCCUUUUUGUCAUUUGCAGUCCUCCGUGCACGGUAUAUAUUUGACGAGUCACACUCCUCGGCAUUGGAAUGCAAAGUGGGUGGUAAAUUCCAUGUAAAGGUAAAUAUAUUAUUGAGACUGAUAGCAAACAAGUACCAUGAGGGAAAUAUGAAAAGGACUUUGAAAAGGGAAUUAAAAGAGUCUGCAUUUGCUGAACAGAAAGCAAACAGAAUUGAUGUGCUUGGUGAGAUUGUUGUGCCCACUCUGUCAUUUAUGUCGGAUGUGGGUGCGAUGGUUCUUACCUUGAAUGUCAGCUUCUAUUUCUGCAAAUCAUUACCCUUGCACAUGAAUGGUAAUUUGCCUGCGGGUAUUGGAAUGUAUGUGUUUGCAAUGAUUUGUGAUUUGAUGCAUGUGGUUGGUGGACUUUGUAUGUGCUGUUUUGCCAACGGGGAAGGGACUCUUCCUUGAGCACUGCAAGCCCUUGCACAUUGAUGCUGGCAAAAUGUUUCUGCUUGACCCGUCUUGAAACACGGACCAAGGAGUCUAACAGAUGUGCAAGUGCGUGGGUGGCAAACCUACUAACACAAUGAAAGUAUUGGCUGGGAUAUUUGCACCAGCAGCCGACUGAUUAGCAGACAGAGGUUUGAGUUUGAGCAUAUCUAUUAGGACCCGAAAGAUGGUGAACUAUGCCUGAACAGAAUGAAUUCAGAGGAAACUCUGAUGGAGGUUCGUAUCGAUACUGACGUGCAAAUCGUUCGUCAUACUUGGGUAUAGGGCGAAAGACCUUUGGACCCCCC